CCCAGCUACAUGUUUCAUGAAGCUUCUGCUACAGAGUGCUGUGCCUGAGCUGUCCACCCCUUUGAAGCAAUUAAAGAUGCCUUUCAUCCCCUGGGACUUAGAGGUUCCUUUGCCCACCCCCAGAAGAGGGGUGUGAGGGGUAGGCUGCCCCUAGUAAUCUGUAAUCACAUUGGUAAUAUGCCUGCUUCAACCAACCUGAUAUUUUAUCCACGGCACCUGCAUGUGAAUCCACGCUCCAACUCUUCUUGCAUUGACAGGGAUAUCUGCGACUCAGAAAUGCCAUUGUAAUGGGGGAGUCAUGGGGGAUAUUGCCUAGAUGCCAGGAUACAGCCUAUAUUGCAUGAAACAAUUGGUGGGCACCAAAUCACACCACACAGAUGGGACCUGCUCUGCCAAUCGCCAUAACCAAAUGUGGACAUCUUAGAGUGUUUGGAAUCUGUUGGCCGCUUUUGUGGAUGAAGCAAGAAGAUUCUGGAGGCUAAGAUCAUAACAGAAGCACACAAGAAAGCAAGUAU
rnacentral:sRNA from 1 species